GCUGGGGUGAUUGUGAUGUUCAUUCACCUCGCUGUUAACUACAGGUUUGGAGCGAUGCUGCUGGUGUUCUUUUUCACUUCUUCAAAGUUUACCAAGUUUGGAGAAGAUAGGAAAAGGAAAAUUGAUGCUGAAUUCAAAGAGGGCGGUCAACGCGAUUGGAUUCAAGUCCUUUUCAAUGGUGGCAUCGCAACCCUUUUGGUUCUGACUGUAUGGACAGUGACUGGAUCAGAGGACAAAUGUCUGGAUUCAAAAGAGUCACACAUGAUAACAUCUUUAAUUGGUGGUAUCAUUGGUCAGUACUGCUGCUGCAAUGGGGACACAUGGUCUUCAGAGCUUGGGAUACUUAGUAAUGAGGAGCCUCGACUAAUUACAAACUUCAAGCCAGUUCGAAGGGGUACAAAUGGUGGAGUGACAAAAGCAGGACUCUUGGCUGCAGCAGCAGCAGGCACUGUCAUUGGAUUGACAUUUGUAGUCCUGGGAUUUUUCACUACAAAGUGCACAUCUGAUGUGACUGUAAAGCAGCUUUUUGUCAUACCACUUUCUGCAUUGGCUGGACUAUGUGGAAGUGUUAUCGAUUCUUUGUUGGGAGCAACACUACAAUUCAGUGGAUUCUGUUCUGUUCGGAAGAAGGUGGUUGGGAAGCCAGGACCAACUGUGAAGAGAAUAUCUGGUCUUACUGUCCUUGAUAAUAAUACAGUGAACCUCUUAUCAAUAUUGCUGACAACGGCUAUGACCUCCUUUGCCUUCUUAUACAUUUUCUGAAUGUAUCCAGCCAGCUCAAUUUGAAUUCUGUAGUAUUUUGUAUCAUCUUCCAGCAACAAUGAGGAUUAUGUUCAUGCUAUAAAUGCUACUAAGUAUCAUAAUCCCUAUCGAGAUUAAAUGAGAGAAUUUUUUCUCAACGCUGCCAUUUUGAUCUCAAAGUAAUCAAUUGUAUCUUCUUUCUUGUUUUGUUUUUAUUUUCGUCAUCCCCCUUUAUGUCUAUAGACAUGAAAAAGGUAUGUGGAGCUAUCCAUUA
rnacentral:misc_RNA from 1 species